GAGAAUCCAAGAAGUCCUGGAAAGUUACCAGAGAGGAUGAGUUUCGAGGCAGUUGCAUGUAAAUGUGGCUUAGCCAAUGGGAAAGGAAGGGAUAUGUGUCCUGGGACAGGUAUUUGAGAAAUGUACAGUCCAUCUGUUAAGGUGUGCUCAACCGCCAACCAUUGUCCACACUUCAGUGACUUAAUCAGUAGAGACCCCAAAUUCAUGUCCAGUGACUUUGACAUCUUCAAGCUGAAGGAUUGAUCUCUCAUUUUUUCAAUAACAC
rnacentral:lncRNA from 1 species